UGUAUGGGGAUCUGCCCGAUAGAGGGGGAUAACUACUGGAAACGGUGGCUAAUACCGCAUAAUGUCUACGGACCAAAGCAGGGGCUCUUCGGACCUUGCACUAUCGGAUGAACCCAUAUGGGAUUAGCUAGUAGGUGGGAUAAAGGCUCACCUAGGCGACGAUCUCUAGCUGGUCUGAGAGGAUGAUCAGCCACACUGGGACUGAGACACGGCCCAG
rnacentral:rRNA from 1 species